AUUGAACGCUGGCGGCAUGCCUUACACAUGCAAGUCGAACGGUAACAGGUCUUCGGAUGCUGACGAGUGGCGAACGGGUGAGUAAUACAUCGGAACGUGCCCGAUCGUGGGGGAUAACGGAGCGAAAGCUUUGCUAAUACCGCAUACGAUCUACGGAUGAAAGCAGGGGACCGCAAGGCCUUGCGCGGACGGAGCGGCCGAUGGCAGAUUAGGUAGUUGGUGGGAUAAAAGCUUACUAAGCCGACGAUCUGUAGCUGGUCUGAGAGGACGACCGUCCACACUGGGACUGAGACACGGCCCAGACUCCUACGGGAGGCAGCAGUGGGGAAUUUUGGACAAUGGGCGAAAGCCUGAUCCAGCCAUGCCGCGUGCGGGAUGAAGGCCUUCGGGUUGUAAACUGCUUUUGUACGGAACGAAAAGCCUCUUUCUAAUAAAGAGAGGUCAUGACGGUACCGUAAGAAUAAGCACCGGCUAACUACGUGCCAGCCGCCGCCGUAAUAC
rnacentral:rRNA from 1 species